UGUGAGAGUGAGAGAGCUGAUUAGAUUGGAGAGAGCCAAGGAGGUAUGGCUGUACUAUUGAGCAGAGAGGGAGCGUGACUGAGUGAACGCAGAAUCACAGCAAAGUCCUCAAGACGGCGGAUGGACUGGACCUAAAUCAACAAACUGACAAAGAAAAUCUGGAUGGAUACCAUGUAUAAAGGAUGAAGUAUUUGCCUUAAUGAGCGAGUAUCUCUGCAUUAGUGUUGCAAGGAAACCACCGGGAGAAAAAGGAAAGGAAAAAAAAAUCAAAAACGGACAACUCGUUUCUCUCUCUUGGAAGGAGAGCUGUGAGCCGGAACAGAGUCAACGGUGGGACUCAGAGGGAUUUUAAAUAUACUCUCAUGCCGGGGUGUGUGUGAGUCAGUGUGUGUAAGCUGAUAAUAGCAGCUCCAUUGGUAUUCAGCGGAGGGAGCUCCAGGAUCUCGCUGCGCCUUUUCCCCAGGAUGGGAUCACAGAGCAGGGAUUGUGCUUGCCUGAGGAGAGCCCGCUGAAAUGGACCCAAACCCUUGGAGCAAUGGACACCAAAUGGGCAGCAUGGAGACCAACGUGUUCCCUUCAGCAGAAAGCUUUCCACACCUAAGCGCCUCCACCAACUCCAGCCAUCCACUCAAGCCAGGGCUAAGCCUGCAGAGUUGAAGUAGGGGUUUGCCUGGAGCUGUCUGCAGAAAACAGAGAUAAGAAGGCCUCAGAGGAGUCAACGUGUUACAAACCAGUCAAUGCGUUGAGCAAUUAAGCUGCUUGAACUUCAUCCGCAAUGAAAUAUGAUGCAGUGAUGCUUGAGCAGUGGUUCAGAGCUUUUGGACGUGUGUGGAUUUAUCAGCUGGAUAUUUUGUUGAGGUUACGACACUUUGGGGCGCAUUUCCGAGCUGGAUCACUUUCCCCACAUUCGUUUGUGGGCAAAAGCGAGUAAUUGAAAAUUAAACCCCUGGAGGCUAGUUUUAUUUUAUUUAUUUUUUUUCCGAAGGAGCAGCUUGUAUGUUUUUCCUCAGAUUUCCUGUUCUUUCUCUUACAUUGCAGAAAAAUACAUUAUGAAGCAGCACCAUUCUUCUUCAUCCUCCCUCAGUGACGGAGAGGGAAGAGGGACACACUGUCCAGAAUAGAUAACGAGUAAGAAGACAGCCGCUGAGAAAGA